GAAGGCUACCAGAUAGGUGAAGCAUGAUCUCCCCUUGGUGAAUCCAUGUUGACUGCUCCUUACAACCUUCUCUUCUAAUUGGGCUGGUAGCAGGUGAUCCAAGUUCAGAUAUUACAGGAUUUCUUCAGAAGCUGAAAUGCAACUUAGUAAAACAAACAUUUUCUAUACUAUCCAUCUCCCCUAGAAGCCAUAUGCAAACACGUAUGGACGAAUUAGGGACUUACAGCCUCCUCACUUAGGUAUUCCAGACCGAGCAGUUCCUGGAGGGGUCAAACCAGCAUGAAACAGAAGUGCCUAUGUGAUUUAAUUGUGCUUCAGUUCAUAAGAGGUUCUUAGUCCAAGGAAGGAAUUUAUACAAGUGCUGAGCAAGGAGCCAGCCUGACACUGACCCAGUGGGCUCCAGGUCAUCAGCUGCUUUGGGUACAGCUCAGAGAUGGUGUGACAACCAGAGAGUCAAAGGCAUCUGAUAUGCAAAGAGGGCACAGAAAUUAGAAAAUACAUGGCAUCUAUAUAUAGAUGCAGUUUGCAUUUGGUAAAGUGUAGUGGCAUAUUAACAUUACCUUAACAGACACUGGCAGGAAGAACAGGGAUAUGUCCUUGGAAGAGUGCAGGAAUCUACAGCUGAGUGUUCUUUGUCCUAAGGAAGUACUAGAAGGAGCUUCUGAAGAGUUCAACAGACUUAGAUGAAAAGUCUGUUUUCAGGAA